rnacentral:rRNA from 1 species
GAAUAUCGGACAAUGGGGGGAACCCUGAUCCAGCCACGCCGCGUGUGUGAAGAAAGCCUUUUGGUUGUAAAGCACUUUAAGCGAGGAGGAGGACACUUAGAUUAAUACUCUAGCAUAGUGGACGUUCCUCGCAGAAUAAGCACCGGCUAACCGUGUGCCAGCAGCCGCGGUAAUACAGAGGGUGCAAGCGUUAAUCGGAUUUACUGGGCGUAAAGCGCGCGUAGGUGGCCAAUUAAGUCAAAUGUGAAAUCCCCGAGCUUAACUUGGGAAUUGCAUUCGAUACUGGUUGGCUAGAGUAUGGGAGAGGAUGGUAGAAUUCCAGGUGUAGCGGUGAAAUGCGUAGAGAUCUGGAGGAAUACCGAUGGCGAAGGCAGCCAUCUGGCCUAAUACUGACACUGAGGUGCGAAAACAUGGGGAGCAAACA